AACCAAGGUGAUUCCCUCUCCAGGAUAGGAGCAACGUGGAAUAAAUCUGCAUGCCUCAGGUUUUCAGAGGUGAUACAUAGUUUCCAUUGCCUUUCCUUGGCUGCCUGCAUGU